rnacentral:lncRNA from 1 species
CUUUCCCUCAUCGCUCUGCUCAUCUCUUUAUCUCUGGCCGCUGUCAUGUUAUCUCCCAGCCUAUCUUGCUCUCAUCUCCCGCUCUCUGCCUGUCUUCACCCCUCCCCCAUCCCCAUCCUCCCCCCUCGCUCUGGCUAUCUCCUUGCCAUCUGUAUGGCAGUCUGGCAAACACUCAGAGGCUCCCCAGCCCUGCCGGCACUAUCACCUCCUCCCCACUGCCCCCUGCCCUGGGACUUCUCUGGCUGAACCCUCCUACCCCUGCCCAUGGCGCUCUGCCUCCUCUUUCCCUUCAGCAGCCCUGGCGGGAGCCACUUCCUGGCAGGCGCCCCCAGCCCAGGUCUUCACUGACGAAGGGCCAUACCAGGCGCUGUGAGAGAGCCCAGAGAAGCCCCAAACCCUGUCUCUUUCCUCGAGAAGCUUAGCCAGGGGAGAUGAGGCCAGCAGAACGAAACAGAAGAGAUCAGGACACAGAUACUCACAGAGGGAAGACCAUGCGAGGACACAGGGAAAAGACGGCCAUCUACAAACCAAGGAGAGAGGCCUCAGGAGAAACCAGCCUCGAGAUCAGACUUCCAGCCUCCGGCACUGUGAGAGAGCACGCGUCUGCUGUGCCGGCGCCCCAGUCUGUGGUACUCUGUUACGGCAGCACUGGUAAACAAGUACAGGCACUGCGCAAACGAACGAGUGGGGUGUGUGCCAAUGAACUGUAUUUAUGAACACUGA